rnacentral:rRNA from 1 species
AGUGGUGAAAGUGGCGAACGGGUGAGUAACACGUAGAUAACCUGCCCUGAAGCGGGGGAUAACGAUUGGAAACGGUCGCUAAUACCGCAUGAGUCCAUCGAAUCGGGAGAGAGAUGGAGAAAAUUACGGUGCUUCAGGAGGGGUCUGCGUCCGAUUAGCUAGUUGGCGAGGUAAAGGCUCACCAAGGCGACGAUCGGUAGCUGUCUGAGAGGACGAUCAGCCACACGGGAACUGAGACACGGUCCCGACUCCUACGGGGGGCAGCAGUGAGGAAUAUUGGGCAAUGGGCGGAAGCCUGACCCAGCAACGCCGCGUGGAGGAUGAAGGCCUUCGGGUCGUAAACUCCUUUUGUCGGGGAAGAGGAAGGACGGUACCCGGCGAAUAAGUCACGGCUAACUACGUGCCAGCAGCCGCGGUAAUACGUAGGUGACAAGCGUUAUCCGGAAUUACUGGGCGUAAAGCGCACGCAGGCGGCUGCUUAAGUCUGACGUAAAAUCUCCUGGCUUAACUGGGAGGGGUCGUUGGAAACUGAGUAGCUUGAGGCAGUGAGAGGGGUGUAGAAUUCCCGGUGUAGUGGUGGAAUGCGUAGAUAUCGGGAGGAAUACCAGAGGCGAAGGCGACACCCUGGCACUGACCUGACGCUCAUGUGCGAAAGCGUGGGGAGCGAACGGGAUUAGAUACCCCGGUAGUCCACGCUGUAAACGAUGAGUACUAGGUGUAGGUAGAGUGAAAUCUGUCUG